rnacentral:rRNA from 1 species
AUUGAACGCUGGCGGCAGGCCUAACACAUGCAAGUCGAACGAGUGGCGGACGGGUGAGUAAUGUCUGGGAAACUGGCUGAUGGAGGGGGAUAACUACUGGAAACGGUAGCUAAUACCGCAUACCAUCAGAUGUGCCCAGGUGGGAUUAGCUUGUUGGUGGGGUAACGGCUCACCAAGGCGACGAUCCCUAGCUGGUCUGAGAGGAUGACCAGCCACACUGGAACUGAGACACGGCCCAGACUCCUACGGGAGGCAGCAGUGGGGAAGAUUGCACAAUGGGCGCAAGCCUGAUGCAGCCAUGCCGCGUGUAUGAAGAAGGCCUUCGGGUUGUAAAGUACUUUCAGCGGCGAGGCGUUACCCACAGAAGAAGCACCGGCUAACUCCGUGCCAGCAGCCGCGGUAAUAC